GGCUCCACCUCUUUCCAUUCCGAACAGAGAAGUUAAGCCCGGUUACGCCGAUGGUACUGCAAAACAUGUGGAAGAGUAGGUAGCUGCCAAUU
rnacentral:rRNA from 1 species